GGAUUUACUAGGAAGGUGGGACGUUGGAGGGGCGGCCGCAUGGCGUGAUUACUGUCUCUGGCCACCGAGCAGAGCCAGUGACAGCAGCGUUCUGGUAGGCAGGCAGGCGUAUCAGGUUUCAGAGGAUGCGGCUGGGAACGGGAGUAGAGGUAUAUGAGCUCCCUGAAAGCACAAAGCAGUUAUUUCCAUCUUCAGAUCAUUCAGAGAUUAUGAAGGCACAAACCCUGCCUUCAAUUUGCUUAUAGUCAAGUGGAGCAGACACAAGUAAAUGAUUGCAGUAUAGCCACUUAAGUAAUCUAAAAGAGGUGAGUGUGGCACUUAACCUCUCCUGGGAGGGGGAGGAAUAAGGCAGUGUUUCCAAGAGGUGAUUUUGGAGCUAUACAGGCAUUAGGUAGACAAGGAAGGGGAGGUCCAUUCUGGGUGCCUAGGCCUCUGUGGCUGAUUUAUAAAUCGUAAAUGGUACAAAAAACAGUGUUGAGUAUCUUUUACCUUUCUCUAGAGUACUGUUCUUACUUUUGGAUAGUGCUUCUUGUUUUUUCCUUCCCUCUCCCUGUCCCU
rnacentral:antisense_RNA from 1 species